GACGAACGCUGGCGGCGUGCCUAAUACAUGCAAGUUGAGCGCUGAAGGUUGUGACUUGUCCCAACUGGAUGAGCAGCGCACGGGUGAGUAACGUGUGGGGAAUCUGCCUUUGAGCGGGGGACAACAUUUGGAAACGAAUGCUAAUACCGCAUAAAAACUGUAAACACAAGUUUUAAGUUUGAAAGAUGCAAUUGCAUCACUCAAAGAUGAUCCCGCGUUGUAUUAGCUAUUUGGUGAGGUAAAGGCUCACCAAGGCGAGAAUACUUAGCCGACCUGAGAGGAAGACCGCCAAAAUUGGAACGGAAACAGGGCCCAACCUCCAACGGGAGGCGCAGUAGGGAAACUUCGGCAAUGGACGAAAGUCUGACCGAACAACGCCGCGUGAGUGAAGAAGGUUUUCGGAUCGUAAAAGUCUGUUGGUAGAGAAGAACGUUGGUGAGAGUGGAAAGCUCAUCGAGUGACGGUAACUGCACAGAAAGGGACGGCUAACUACGUG
rnacentral:rRNA from 1 species